AUUCAACACAGUACACACCAAGCAGUUAAAGAACAAAGACGGAACAGCUCGUUCAAUGAGGAUCACAUAACACAUGGUCCAUAUUCUUCCCCAGUCAAUAAGUCUAUUGAUUCCGAGCGUCAAUACGACCAGUUAAGCCCUGCCUCUAUGAUACGGUGCGCACAGCACAGUGCCUCCGUUUCUAUAUCUUUGUAUAUCUAGAGAACGGAUAAUGUUCAUUAAACGGCUUGGCACCCUGCGAAGAUUUCAACAAUGAGACAAAGAGAUAAUCUUGUAGUUUUGCUGCUGGGCUUAAUGCUGUGAUUCGUAAAGAUCAUUANAGGGCACACCUUCUGAAAAGAAUUCUAAUAGAGCAGCACUCCAUGGGGUCUUANAUUCAACUUGUGGCGUGCAAAAUACACGAUUAAUGUACUAGCUAAAAGUCUUUAAGAAAAGGUCCACGCUUAAGUGGCUGCAAAAUGCCUGGAGUUCAGACGAGUCGCCCAAGCGUCACACGUAAAUAAUACAAGACCACAACAUUCAGUCAAUAAAAUAUCACAGGUUUAGAAACGAUCCACAAUACUAAAAAAAUUGCGCGUCUUAUAUUUCGUUUACUAUAGUGACUCGGAAUUUUCAAGUCAAGUUAAGUUUAAGUGAUAUUUUACCCCAAACGUAAUGUUGAACCAUAUAAUACAGUCCCUAUAAUAUACACACAAAAUAUUAAGGUAUAAAAAAGCGUUCUUAGGGAAGUUUCAUUUCGUUUACAUCAGUUCAAUAGGACAGCUAUUUGGUAAAGUAAGUAUCUGUGCUUUAUUGACCAAUGUCCAAAAAUUUGGGACGUUUUUAAAGACAAUGACUACAGACAAUGCUGCUUCUUUAAUCACUAAAGGAUCGUUUGAACGUCAAAAAGCCGUACACUUGAUCAAGGGGGAUGAAAAUGAAGAUUUGCCACCUUGUUAUUCAGGGGGAAAAAAACUGGUAAAAAAUUCUUUGGAAUGAAAAACUUAAGCAGAUGUUGAUUUUCCGGGACGAGAAAGUGNGUGUUUAUAACCAGAGAACUACAUUGUACAUAAUGACAAGAUAGUCCAUUUGGACAACACCGAAGAAAAGUACAAACCCCAGCUCUGUUACCCCACGUAUAGCUAUAACAGAGUCUUUGUCAACAAGCUGAUGAUGUGCCACAAGGGACAAGUUAGGAUUUGUUUAUGGUGGGAUUGUUAUUGCAGCUUUGACAAUACAAAUUGUCAUUAAUCACGGCCCAUUUUCUNGCGAUGAAUACGUACAAACAGUCGAUUUACGACCAGUCGUCAGCAACAGCUUUGCACUUCCGCUCUGUGUUCCUGAUGAUAGCAGGUGACCUAAAGGCACAUUACCUACGAUCUAUUGAGGGCAGUUGGAGUAUUUGGAUCGGAGUAGCUCUUUGUUGAACUCGACUGUUCAAACUUCAAUGGCCUGUUAUGUUAAGUAAACCUCUUGAGACUGCGAUCUAAACGAUUUGCCAUAGUCUAGAGUAAUUGUACGCAUGAUUUUUUCCCGUCCAACUUCNUUCGCUUUUACUUGACGACAGCUUUGAAAAUGAGGAAAUGGAUCUUUUAUCGCGAUGACACUGAGAACCAUAAAAAAUAUAGGGCAAAAACUAAUAUAAAAAUAAGAAUUAAUUCAUGGUUUAAAUAACCAAAAAUGUAAAUGU
rnacentral:lncRNA from 1 species